GGGAGAGCGGGGAAGGGCAGGGGGAAAGAGUGAUGGAGGAAGGAUAUGAUGGAAACCCAUUACAUGCAUGUGUGGGAAUGUCAUAAUGAACCAAUUUUGCUUUGUAUAAUUAAUCCACACUGUAACAGGAAGGGAAGGGAAGAGAAGAGACGUCUUGAAAAAAAAAACAGUAAAAGAUGAGUGUUGUAAGGACUUCCUGCUUCAUAUUCAUGCCCUUUGACCUCCCCAACCUGCCUUUCCUUCUGGUAUCAUCUUGGGCUGUACCCAGGAAUAAUCCAGGCCUUGUUCUUUAAGCUCCUGAGUUCCGUCUUCCCAGGGAGAAGUGCAGAAAGGGCUGUAGGAGUUUAUCUCAUUCUGGAGAUGGAAUCUUGCAGGAAUGCCUGGUGUAUGGGACCACUUGGCAGUGUUUACAUUUUCAUAGAGAAAAGCAUUAACUGAGAUUAUGGGAGAAUGCAGUGCGUAUUUUAGCUUGCAGGCCCUUUCAUUCUCCAAUCCUCAGAAAACGGGAGCUAGGGUGUAGGGAAUUGAUGACUCAGCGAGAGCCAUCUCCUCCAUGCGUGUUAGGAUUUUAAACAUGACAACCAGAGGUAGAGAGUCCACCCUCCCCACAGAGCUUGUUCCUAACUGCUGGAUAAUCUUCAUGUUUUCUCUCAUAGCUAAGCUAAACUGUGGGUGCUGUUCCUCAGUGGAAACAGAAUCAACUGGCAACUGCUCCUGACACAGAGCAAAGAACUCCCAGAGAGGGUAGCUCACUGGAGCAGCCACCACAGCACAGCUCUGCAAUCCUCCUGGGAUUUGGCUGGGGCCACGCACUUCGGAGAAGCCAGGGCCAUCAAACCUACACCUGUUUAUAUCACUGCUGCAUAUGUGACAAAUCCUGUCUUUAACAUGGGUAAAUCCUUGGAGAGGAAGUGGUUCCAGUCAAAACCAGCAUUCCCUGAGCAUCUGAACCAAGGAGCUGAUGGGAUUUACUCAAGGGUGCUGCUAUCUCCAUUGUAUGUAUAAGUAAGGGAAGAGAGGCGCAGAGAAGACCAAGAGUUUAGCC
rnacentral:lncRNA from 1 species